ACCACCAUCAUCACCAUCAUCAUCACCACCACCAUCAUCAUCAGCAGCAUCAUCAUCAGCUAAGCAGCAGGUCCGGGCUGCACCUAACCCAGCGAACUGCAAGUGAUCAGUUUAUCCCGUCGGAGUCUUUCGCAAGUGAUCAGCUGUGGCACGACCAGGCGGGGCAUCGAGACGCCCAGCAAACGCCGCUCGAGCGAAUUUGUUCUCAAUGAUCGUGGGGAUCCUCAUUCAGUUCCUGAUCACGACGUGGCCCUCUAACCCCGUGUCUCAGUCGGUCUCCAUCAGGGCUGGCUAGGUGGCGAUGUCUCUGCUGGAUGACCACUCAGUGGACGUGGAGCUGCUGCAGCUCCAUCAGCUCGUGCAGCAGCAGCAGCUGAUGGAGCUCCAGAACGCGGAGCGACGGGGUCAUGACCUCCACCACAGGGACGACACGGGGGGCGGGGGGCAGCGCUGGACCGUGAGCAUCGCUGCUUCUGAAGACGAUCGUGAUCAUGGUGAUGGUGGUGAUGGUGAUGGUGGUGAUGGUGGUGGUGGUGAUGGUGAUGGUGGUGAUGGUGGUG